rfam:Larimichthys crocea isolate SSNF unplaced genomic scaffold scaffold40, whole genome shotgun sequence.
AACCACAACUGUGUCUUAUGGCUUUCUAUUCCUAUGUGAGUUCUUUCUAACAUGUCAUGUAGGGUUUAAAGCCAUUGGAUACACAGUGGACA